UACGUAGGGGGCAAGCGUUGUCCGGAAUGACUGGGCGUAAAGGGAGUGCAGGUGGUUUCUUAAGUCUGAUGUGAAAGCCCACGGCUUAACCGUGGAGGGUCAUUGGAAACUGGGGAACUUGAGUGCAGAAGAGGAGAGUGGAAUUCCAAGUGUAGCGGUGGAAUGCGUAGAUAUUUGGAGGAACACCAGUGGCGAAGGCGACUUUCUGGUCUGUAACUGACACUGAGGCUCGAAAGCGUGGGGAGCGAACAGGAUUAGAUACCCUGGUAGUCCCU
rnacentral:rRNA from 1 species